UGGAAAGUUGGGGUGCUUACAAUUAUUGAGAUUUUGUUGACAUAACUUAAAAAGGUAAAGUAUAUUUUGUAAUAUAGUUAUAUUUUCGAUUAUUUUUAAUCUAUAGUUAUAGUUUCACCGUAUCUUGCUAUUCGGUUGUCUGGUUGUAUAACUUCAGUGUAUAUGAUUUAAGAAAAUUAUCCUCGUUGUCUAGUUGUAUAAUUUCAGUGUAUAUGAUUUAAGAAAAUUAUCCUCUUUGUAUGUCUUUGCAAGCGAUAUACAAAUGAAAUUAAAAAAAAUAAAAUCCUAAACGCAUAAAUACAUAAUUUGUAUAUAUUUAACAUGUUUGUAUUAAAAUAACACAAUUCGAGAAAUGUCUUAUUAAUUUAUUAUUUUUGUUUUUGAAACUACUUUUAAAUAAUUCAAUAUUAUCUUUCAUUUGGAUUUUCAAUGUGAUAACUUCAAUAAAUUUGAGUAUAUGACAAUAAUUAGUAAGGAUAAAAAUAGAAAACUAUAUUCAAUUUAUAUUUUAAUCUACUUUUAUUAAAGAGCGUGGAACACCUUAAAAUUUCUUCAUUUUUUAGAACUUUAGUAACGUGUAAAAUGGAAAAUGUGACGUUAGUUAUUUUGAAUCUUUGGAAGUAUGUUAGAGCAGGUUGAAAAAAGAAAGAUAUUUAUAUUGUCGGUUUGGCCAAGCUAUCUCUGUUUUUCUUUUUAUAUGAAAUUUAAAAUCAAAUCAAAUCAAUCUCAAAAUAUCGUUUAUUUCUUUGAUUUGCAUCUUUUUUUCAUGAACACCCCUAUAAAAAAAGUUGCAGUGCGUCGAUAAGAAGUACCUCAAAAAUGUGUUGGAGCAUAGCUUAAAAUGUAUUAACAGAUUAUUUCAUUUAGCUAUUAUUAUAUCCCAAAAGAUAUAGUACAUUAUUUUCAACGAAAUAGGUAAAUGAGACAAUAAUAAGAGGUAUAUUAAAAAAAAAUUAUUUUUAUUUUAGAAAGCAAAAAAAAAAAAAAAGGAUAAAAAAAAUGAGUCCUCCUGGAUAUAAUAUAUAGAGUUUGUCAACUCCAAUGUAGUACUUUUUGGCGAGAAUAUAGAUCUAAUCGGACUUCAAUGUGAAUAUUGAAUACCAAAGCUUUUGUCAACUCCAAUGUAUCUGGCGAGUAUACGGAUCUAAUCGAACUUCAGUGUGAAUAUUGAAUACCAAAGCCUUUGUCAACUCCAAUGUAGAACUUUCUGGCGAGAAUACAGAUCUAAUCGGACUUCAAUGUGAAUAUUAAAUAAACAAAUUUGAUCAAAAAUAAAGUUGCUAACAAAUAUCUCUCCAUCGGGUUAGAGUUUCACUCGUUUAUCAUAAACAAUUUGUGUGCACCAAUAUAGAAAGGUUGCGAAUAUUAUAAUGAUAGUAACAGAGUCAUAAAUUUUAACAACGAAAGUUUUUUUUCCUAUAUACUCCAAUAUAUACACAAUACAGAUUAACUUCACUAGCUAGACUCUAAACAUAAAAGGGUUGUUCAAUUACAAUUAUUGUUCCAUCAAUAUGUAGUUUCUUAAGUUUGGUACAAAAACAUUUUCACUCGUAUCUCAUGUUACUUUUCAUCUACAAAUUUCAAAUCACAAUGCUUACUAUUAUAAUAAUCAAUAAAAUCACAAUAAUUGUGUCAAUGCAAAUGACGAUGACGUGUUCUAUAUUGGGAGGUUUAUUUUUCAUCUAUAGAUGAAUAUCAAGCUAGUGAAAACUCAUUGACACCUUUCAAAUCUUAAUAUAUAAACAAAAUAUUAUAUCAUAUAUACUAGUUUCACCACUUCUAAUUUGUUAAUAGAAAUGAAAUAAAAAAAUUUAAAAAAUAAAGAUAUAAAAUAGGAGGGGCUGAUUACCCAAACUAAGUACUAUUAUCUUAGAAAGUCAGUUUUCUUUCUUAAUUUCAAUUUCAUACAACACUUUUAUUAGUCAAUCGAUCAUCUGAGAAAUCAACACUAAAAAAAAAAAAAGAUGGAUGAGUAUAUAUAAGUAAGAUGAUAUUGGCACGGCUCAAUCAAAUGAAAUGACCCAAUACUUUGAGAAAUUUGAUUUGAUUGAGCCAUUCCAACAUCAUUUUACUAUACUAUUAACUACAAAGCGAAAAAGGAAAAAAAAAAGAACUUUUAAAUUUACCUUUCCAACUUCAUAAUUUGUAGAUCAUCAAAUAACUAAGAACUUGAUUUUGCAAUAUUCCUAAUCAUAAUUGCCGGCAUGAUAAUGAUGGAACCCUAACCCUAAUUUAGAGAGGAGAAAAAGGAAGAAUAAGCUAUAACAAAUAUAAGAUAAGAAAAGAAAAUUAGUAGUAUUGGAG
rnacentral:lncRNA from 1 species